GACGAACGCUGGCGGCGUGCUUAACACAUGCAAGUCGAACGCUGAAGCUCAGCUUUUGUUGGGUGGAUGAGUGGCGAACGGGUGAGUAACACGUGAGUAACCUGCCCCCUUCUUUGGGAUAACGCCCGGAAACGGGUGCUAAUACUGGAUAUUCACUGGUCUUCGCAUGGGGGUUGGUGGAAAGGGUUUUUCUGGUGGGGGAUGGGCUCGCUGCCUAUCAGCUUGUUGGUGGGGUGAUGGCCUACCAAGGCUUUGACGGGUAGCCGGCCUGAGAGGGUGACCGGUCACAUUGGGACUGAGAUACGGCCCAGACUCCUACGGGAGGCAGCAGUGGGGAAUAUUGCACAAUGGGCGCAGGCCUGAUGCAGCGACGCCGCGUGAGGGAUGGAGGCCUUCGGGUUGUGAACCUCUUUCGCUCAUGGUCAAGCCGCAACAAUGGUUGUGGUGAGGGUAGUGGGUAAAGAAGCGCCGGCUAACUACGUG
rnacentral:rRNA from 1 species